CUUGGGCUAUGAUCUUAGCCCCUUCUUUCUCCAGUCACUUUUUCCUACUUUCAGCACGUUUGAAUAAAAUCUCCUAAUCUAUAAAUUUACUCCAGAGAAGUUUAUAAUUCAUCUUUCUCUCUUUCAACCUCUUCUUCAGGUGCUACACCUCUGAUCCGAUCUUUUAAACUCCCAAAAGUGGCUCAAGAGAGGUCUGAACUCUCCUGGAAGUGGAACACCC
rnacentral:lncRNA from 1 species